rnacentral:lncRNA from 1 species
CCACAAGGAGCAAGUCAGUACUGCAAUUCAUUAAGGCAACUUGACCUCUGGGGAGAGGAGAAGAAAAAGGAACUAGCAGCAUUGAUCGCCUAUGUUUCCUGAAGUGUGGUGUCAUGGCAUAAAAUGACAUUGAAUCACAGGAUCGACAGAGAAGAAAUGAGUCAACGAUGGUGCAGGUGAUCUGUGCAGUGCUGUGCAGGGGAUGGGUCAAAGCUGUGAUGCUGGCAUGCAACUAACUCACCAUUGUGAGCCAAUCACAAAAGCAGAAACUUGGCCAAGCUGGAAUCUUUC